rnacentral:rRNA from 1 species
CCUACGGGUGGCAGCAGUGAGGAAUAUUGGUCAAUGGACGAGAGUCUGAACCAGCCAAGUAGCGUGAAGGAUGACUGCCCUAUGGGUUGUAAACUUCUUUUAUAAGGGAAUAAAACGAGGCACGUGUGCCUUUUUGCAUGUACUUUAUGAAUAAGGAUCGGCUAACUCCGUGCCAGCAGCCGCGGUAAUACGGAGGAUCCGAGCGUUAUCCGGAUUUAUUGGGUUUAAAGGGAGCGUAGAUGGGUUGUUAAGUCAGUUGUGAAAUUUUGCGGCUCAACCGUAAAAUUGCAAUUGAUACUGGCAGUCUUGAGUACAGUUGAGGUAGGCGGAAUUCGUGGUGUAGCGGUGAAAUGCUUAGAUAUCACGAAGAACCCCGAUUGCGAAGGCAGCUUACUAAACUGUGACUGACAUUGAUGCUCGAAAGUGUGGGUAUCAAACAGGAUUAGAUACCCGUGUAGUC